UACGUAGGUGGCAAGCGUUAUCCGGAAUUAUUGGGCGUAAAGCGCGCGUAGGCGGUUUUUUAAGUCUGAUGUGAAAGCCCACGGCUCAACCGUGGAGGGUCAUUGGAAACUGGAAAACUUGAGUGCAGAAGAGGAAAGUGGAAUUCCAUGUGUAGCGGUGAAAUGCGCAGAGAUAUGGAGGAACACCAGUGGCGAAGGCGACUUUCUGGUCUGUNAACUGACGCUGAUGUGCGAAAGCGUGGGGAUCAAACAGGAUUA
rnacentral:rRNA from 1 species